rnacentral:rRNA from 1 species
AGCAGCCGCGGUAAUUCCAGCUCCAAUAGCGUAUAUUAAAGUUGUUGCAGUUAAAAAGCUCGUAGUUGAAUUUCGGGAUCAAUGCGUUGGUCGUGCUUUCGGGUACGUACUGGUGUCAUUGGUUUCUCCUUUCUGACGAGCCGUGAUGUCAUUAAUUUGGUGUUACGGGUAGUUAGGACUGUUACUUUGAAAAAUUAGAGUGUUUAAAGCAGGCAUUAGCUUGAAUACAUUAGCAUGGAAUAAUGAAAUAGGACGUUCGAUCCUAUUUGUUGGCUUCUAGGAUCAACGUAAUGAUUAAUAGGGAUAGUUGGGGGCAUUAGUAUUCAAUUGUCAGAGGUGAAA